rnacentral:misc_RNA from 1 species
UGUGUGAUGUUGGGCAGUCUCCAAGUCAUGAUCCAUUCUGAUAAAAGCUACUGAGGGAGUCGAGACAAUGCAGGAAUGCCCAGGUUAGACAAUAAAAUAAAGGAGAUAUUUUUAAGGGCAAAGAAAGAUUACAGAAAGGAGGAUAAGGAGUCCUCUUAAACAAUCUAACUACCUAAUAAGGUUACUUAAGAAGACUUGAAAAGGUAAAGCCCUCCAAAGCACUUGCCCACAAAAAAUCCAAGAAAAACUAUAUUAUCCCACAAUAAAUUAAGAUAAGACUUUGAUUUUUGAAAAUGUCGGCACUCCUCUUCAUUCAAAUGCUUUAUCAGACUGUAAAUACAGCACCACUCCAAAGAACUUUAGCAUCAUUUUGAUGGAAUAAAUCAAGUAUUAUAAUCAGAAUACAAAGGAGAAUACAUUUCACAGGGAAAUUUAUUUCACUAAGAAAUCAGCAGCUGUAAUAUUUGAUAAUUACAGCAAUCAAGCUGAA